rnacentral:rRNA from 1 species
CACGUAGGGCGCAAGCGUUGUCCGGAAUUAUUGGGCGUAAAGAGCUCGUAGGCGGUCUGUUGCGUCCGCUGUGAAAACUCGAGGCUCAACCUCGAGAGGUCGGUGGAAACCAUCUGGCUAGAGUCCGGAAGAGGAGAAUGGAAUUCCCGGUGUAGCGGUGAAAUGCGCAGAUAUCGGGAAGAACACCCGUGGCGAAGGCGGUUCUCUGGGACGGUACUGACGCUGAGACGCGAAAGCGUGGGGAGCGAACAGG